rnacentral:rRNA from 1 species
GACGAACGCUGGCGGCGUGCUUAACACAUGCAAGUCGAACGGAAAGGCCCUGCUUGCAGGGUACUCGCGUGGCGAAAGGGUGAGUAACACGUGGGUGUAAUGCCCUGCACUUCGGGAUAAGCCUGGAAAACUGGGUCUAUUACAGGAUAUGACAUUUCAUGUAGCGUGGGGGGUGGAAGGAUUUAUCGGUGUGGGAUGAGCCCGCGGCCUAUCAGCUUGUUGGUGGGGUAAUGGCCUACCAAGGCGUCGACGGGUAGCCGGCCUGAGAGGGUGGACGGCCACAUUGGGACUGAGAUACGGCCCAGACUCCUACGGGAGGCAGCAGUGGGGAAUAUUGCACAAUGGGCGGAAGCCUGAUGCAGCGACGCCGCGUGGGGGAUGACGGCCUUCGGGUUGUAAACCGCUUUCGACAGGGACGAAGCGUCGGUGACGGUACCUGGAUAAGAAGCACCGGCUAACUACGUG